rnacentral:rRNA from 1 species
CCCUUAGAUGUUCUGGGCUGCACGCGCGCUACACUGAAGCGUUCAACGAGUAUUCACCUUGCCCGGGAGGGUUGGGUAAUCUUUUGAAAACGCUUCGUGAUUGGGAUAGACCUUUGCAAUUAUGGGUCUUCAACGAGGAAUUCCUAGUAAACGCAAGUCAUCAGCUUGCAUUGAUUACGUCCCUGCCCUUUGUACACACCGCCCGUCGCACCUACCGAUUGAAUGGUCCGGUGAAAUCUCGGGACGGCGGCUUGGUCGCUUGCGUCCGACUGCUGAAACUUGAUUAAACCAUAUCAUUUAGAGGAAGGUGAAGUCGUAACA